rnacentral:rRNA from 1 species
AUUGAACGCUGGCGGAAUGCCUUACACAUGCAAGUCGAACGGCAGCACGGGAGCAAUCCUGGUGGCGAGUGGCGAACGGGUGAGUAAUACAUCGGAACGUGCCCAAUCGUGGGGGAUAACGUAGCGAAGCUACGCUAAUACCGCAUACGAUCUACGGAUGAAAGACAGGGGACGUCGCAAGAGCCUUGCGCGAAUGGAGCGGCCGAUGGCAGAUAGGUAGUUGGUGGGGUAAAGGCUCACCAAGCCUUCGAUCUGUAGCUGGUCUGAGAGGACGACCAGCCACACUGGGACUGAGACACGGCCCAGACUCCUACGGGAGGCAGCAGUGGGGAAUAUUGCGCAAUGGGCGAAAGCCUGACGCAGCGACGCCGCGU